GGGGUCCUUAUAUACCCGGUGUUAAAGCCCCAGGCUGCUUUAAUAGCUUGGCUUCCAGCUUUGCUGUUAACCUUUCCUCUUUUCCGCAAGCAUUUAACUGUAAGUGUGUUAGGAAACCUGGCUCUGCUGGCUCAUUUUCCCUUCUAGAAACUUCCACUCCUCUAGGGGCUUCCUGGCUACUCUUUAAAGUUUGGAACAGCGCUGAGCAUGGUUUCAUCUUUGAAAGGGUUUUGGCCCAGAUAGGACACUGUAGCCAGGAAAGCCACAACCGGAAGCAGGAAGCCCCAUCUCCCCUGCCCCUAGGAAGUUACCUGUGACGCCAUCUUCCCGCCCCUGGGAAUUUACAUAUGGCGCCAAACCUAGGACCAAUGGGCUACCUGUGUAUCCCUAAUGCCCACCUUAGGUCCCACCCCAAACUGAGGCUAUUUACAGGCCCCCACACCACGUGUCCACCAGAGAGAUUGCCGGACACCAGUGGUGGGGGUGCCGGUCAUCUCUCUCCAUGUUCUCAGAAUAAAGGCCGCUUUUUAUUUUAUAUUUCUCAUCUUUUGUUAAUAUUUUUCAUCUUUUGGAAAUAACUCUAUCAUUUGGUGCCAUGACUCGAUCGGCAGGCAACUGACUCUUGGGCCACAUACCCAGUUGAGUCUCCUAGCCGAUAACCAGAUAACAUCCUGGAUUAAUCCUGAGCUUUUUCCUCUCCCAAGACGUUCCUGUCGCCAGCCGCCUGCACUCCGCAUCGGCCAGACUGAUUUCAGGGUGACCGGCAGCAGCUCUGUAGCUGCUCUACAGAUGAUUGCUUACAUGCGCCUACUGGAAGGAUGGCUGCUCAGUGCCCCCUGCUCCGGAAUCUCCUCAGGCUCUGCUACCACUUCGGGAGCCAGCUGGCCCCGAGGGGCUUGUUAACAUCCAUGUGCCUUUUUCCCUUUCUGAUCUAUCCCAGAUUGCCCAUAAAUUAGGUAGCUUUUCUGUUGACCCACAGAAUUAUAUCAGGCAAUUUGAAUUUA